CCUAUCUAUCAGAGUCAGAGACAAGGUUCCCUAUUUGAGGACUGAAGGCACCUCCAAUUUCUGAUAAUUACCUUCAUCUUCAAUGAUUCCAAGCUUCAAUACACAGUCCUGCAAAGAACUAUAGCUAACAAGUUCAGAUCAAUUAAAGAGAUAGACACAUCAACAAACCAAUGGACAACUAAAGUCAUGGUUAUUGAAAAGGGCUUUCAAAGAACAUGAAUGACAAGUAACAAAGAUUUUCAAAGAUUGAUGCU